AUGACAGGAAUUCCACUUGUUAUACAGAAUACUGACAUGACAGCACCACGGCUUGAAUUCCGGUACUCUUCCUCUCAGCAUUUUUUCCAUUUUGGUAUCUACUUUGGCUUUGCUCUUGGUCAAAAAAUGGCUGCCAUGUAUUUGUUCAACUACAACAGGAAACAGAAACUCCCUUCUAAUGCUGGAAGGCUUUCAGGAUCAAGAGAUUCCAGGCCAAAAGACAAAAACAAAAUCACUCCAUUCCCCAACAGAUUUUCAUGA
rnacentral:lncRNA from 1 species